rnacentral:rRNA from 1 species
CAAUAGCGUAUAUUUAAGUUGUUGCAGUUAAAAAGCUCGUAGUUGGAUUUUGGGUCGGGGGCACCGGUCCGCCGUUCCGGUGUGCACUGGUGGCCCCUUCCUUUCUGCCGGGGACGUGCGUCGCACUUAAUUGGGUGGCGUUCGGAGUCGGCGUUGUUACUUUGAAAAAAUUAGAGUGUUCAAAGCAAGCCAUCGCUCUGAAUACAUUAGCAUGGAAUAACAUGAUAGGACUCUGGUCUUAUUUUGUUGGUUUCCGAGACUGGAGUAAUGAUUAAGAGGGACAGUCGGGGGCAUCCGUAUUUCAUUGUCAGAGGUGAAAUUCUUGGAUUUAUGAAAGACGAACUUCUGCGAAAGCAUUUGCCAAGGAUGUUUNCAUUAA